rfam:Halorhabdus tiamatea SARL4B complete genome
AGUCCUGUGGUGUAGUGGCCAAUCAUGAGGGCUUCUGGGGCCCUCGACGGAGGUUCGAAUCCUCCCAGGACUA